rnacentral:rRNA from 1 species
UACGUAGGGUGCAAGCGUUAAUCGGAAUUACUGGGCGUAAAGCGUGCGCAGGCGGUUUUGUAAGUCAGAUGUGAAAUCCCCGGGCUUAACCUGGGAACUGCGUUUGAAACUACAAGGCUAGAGUAUGACAGAGGGGGGUGGAAUUCCACGUGUAGCAGUGAAAUGCGUAGAGAUGUGGAGGAACACCGAUGGCGAAGGCAGCCCCCUGGGUUAACACUGACGCUCAGGCACGAAAGCGUGGGGAGCAAACAGG